rnacentral:rRNA from 1 species
GCUACCAUGCAGUUCGAGGGGCAGCAUGAACUUAGCUUGCUAAGUUUGAUGGCGACCGGCGCACGGGCUGAGUAACACGAUAUCCAACCUGCCGAUGACUCGGGGAUAGCCUUUCGAAAGAAAGAUUAAUACCCGAUGGCAUAGUUCUUCCGCAUGGCUAGAACUAUUAAAGAAUUUCGGUCAUCGAUGGGGAUGCGUUCCAUUAGGUUGUUGGCGGGGUAACGGCCCACCAAGCCUUCGAUGGAUAGGGGUUCUGAGAGGAAGGUCCCCCACAUUGGAACUGAGACACGGUCCAAACUCAUACGGGAGGCAGCAGUGAGGAAUAUUGGUCAAUGGACGAGAGUCUGAACCAGCCAAGUAGCGUGAAGGAUGACUGCCCUAUGGGUUGUAAACUUCUUUUAUACGGGAAUAAAGUGAGGCACGUGUGCCUUUUUGUAUGUACCGUAUGAAUAAGGAUCGGCUAACUCCGUGCCAGCAGCCGCGGUAAUACGGAGGAUCCGAGCGUUAUCCGGAUUUANUUGGGUUUAAAGGGGAGCGUAGGCGGACGCUUAAGUCAGUUGUGAAAGUUUGCGGCUCAACCGUAAAAUUGCAGUUGAUACUGGGUGUCUUGAGUACAGUAGAGGCAGGCGGAAUUCGUGGUGUAGCGGUGAAAUGCUUAGAUAUCACGAAGAACUCCGAUUGCGAAGGCAGCUUGCUGGACUGUAACUGACGCUGAUGCUCGAAAGUGUGGGUAUCAAACAGGAUUAGAUACCCUGGUAGUCCACACAGUAAACGAUGAAUACUCGCUGUUUGCGAUAUACAGUAAGCGGCCAAGCGAAAGCGUUAAGUAUUCCACCUGGGGAGUACGCCGGCAACGGUGAAACUCAAAGGAAUUGACGGGGGCCCGCACAAGCGGAGGAACAUGUGGUUUAAUUCGAUGAUACGCGAGGAACCUUACCCGGGCUUGAAUUGCAACUGAAUGAUGUGGAGACAUGUCAGCCGCAAGGCAGUUGUGAAGGUGCUGCAUGGUUGUCGUCAGCUCGUGCCGUGAGGUGUCGGCUUAAGUGCCAUAACGAGCGCAACCCUUAUCGAUAGUUACCAUCAGGUUAUGCUGGGGACUCUGUCGAGACUGCCGUCGUAAGAUGUGAGGAAGGUGGGGAUGACGUCAAAUCAGCACGGCCCUUACGUCCGGGGCUACACACGUGUUACAAUGGGGGGUACAGAAGGCAGCUACACGGCGACGUGAUGCUAAUCCCUAAAGCCUCUCUCAGUUCGGAUUGGAGUCUGCAACCCGACUCCAUGAAGCUGGAUUCGCUAGUAAUCGCGCAUCAGCCACGGCGCGGUGAAUACGUUCCCGGGCCUUGUACACACCGCCCGUCAAGCCAUGAAAGCCGGGGGUACCUGAAGUGCGUAACCGCAAGAGCGCCCUAGGG